rnacentral:rRNA from 1 species
UGGGGAAUAUUGCUCAAUGGGCGCAAGCCUGAAGCAGCGACGCCGCGUGAGGGAUGAAGGCCUUCGGGUUGUAAACCUCUUUCAGCGCCGAAGAAGCGAAAGUGACGGUAGGCGCAGAAGAAGCACCGGCUAACUACGUGCCAGCAGCCGCGGUAAUACGUAGGGUGCAAGCGUUGUCCGGAAUUAUUGGGCGUAAAGAGCUCGUAGGCGGUUUGUCGCGUCUGCUGUGAAAACUCGGGGCUUAACCCCGGGCCUGCAGUGGGUACGGGCAGACUAGAGUGCGGUAGGGGAGACUGGAAUUCCUGGUGUAGCGGUGAAAUGCGCAGAUAUCAGGAGGAACACCGGUGGCGAAGGCGGGUCUCUGGGCCGUAACUGACGCUGAGGAGCGAAAGCAUGGGUAGCGAACAGG